rnacentral:rRNA from 1 species
UAUUGCACAAUGGGGGAAACCCUGAUGCAGCGACGCCGCGUGAGUGAAGAAGCGUUUCGGCGCGUAAAGCUCUGUCAGCGGGGAAGAAACACGGUUCGCGAGAGCCGCGGACGGUACCCGACCAAGAAGCCCCGGCUAAUUACGUGCCAGCAGCCGCGGUAAUACGUAGGGGGCAAGCGUUAUCCGGAUUUACUGGGUGUAAAGGGAGCGUAGACGGAAUUGCAAGUCUGAUGUGAAAAUCCGGGGCCCAACCCCGGAACUGUAUUGGAAACUGUAUUUCUAGAGUGUCGGAGAGGCAAGUGGAAUUCCUGGUGUAGCGGUGAAAUGCGUAGAUAUCAGGAGGAACACCAGUGGCGAAGGCGGCUUGCUGGACGAUGACUGACGUUGAGGCUCGAAAGCGUGGGGAGCAAACAGG